AGCCGAUCCUGCUUUUCAGAGAAUAGAAAAAGUACUCACUGCAUGGUGUUAGGGGCUUUGUCUGGCCCCUACCGGGAUCCGACGAUCAGAGCCAGGAGCAACAGCUUCGCAUGAAAACCCCGGCCCCCGUGGGUCUAAUGUGAGCUGCAGGGUACCACAACUUCUCUGCACGAACACAACAAAUGCCACCUAAGGAGGGACCCUGGCAAAGUCACAGAUGCAGCGACUGUCCAGACAAAUGGCUUCCAAUGCUUUUGCAUACAUUUUACACAGGCCUGUGCACGAGAGAGAACAUCUAAUCCCUAACGUCAGGGACCAAAGAAGCUCAUUCCACAGCCUCGCGCGUGCUGACGCCUGGCUUGGGGCCUGCAAGGGACACUUGCCCUUUGGCGUUUGCAGCUGGAUUCAAGAUUCCUUCAUCCAUCCAAAGUGUGCACUGGACGCCCAGCCGGUGGAUGUUCACGGCUCCCUGACCUUCUUUCACC
ensembl:lncRNA